UACGUAGGGUGCAAGCGUUGUCCGGAAUUAUUGGGCGUAAAGAGCUCGUAGGCGGUCUGUCGCGUCGGCUGUGAAAACCCGGGGCUCAACCCCGGGCCUGCAGUCGAUACGGGCAGACUAGAGUGCGGUAGGGGAGGCUGGAAUUCCUGGUGUAGCGGUGAAAUGCGCAGAUAUCAGGAGGAACACCGGUGGCGAAGGCGGUUCUCUGGGCAUGUCCUGACGCUGAGGAGCGAAAGUGUGGGGAGCGAACAGG
rnacentral:rRNA from 1 species